AGUGAACGCUGGCGGUAGGCCUAACACAUGCAAGUCGAACGGCAGCACCGUAAGAGCUUGCUCUUACGGGUGGCGAGUGGCGGACGGGUGAUGAAUACAUCGGAAUCUACUUUUUCGUGGGGGAUAACGUAGGGAAACUUACGCUAAUACCGCAUAAGACCUACGGGUGAAAGCAGGGGAUCUUCGGACCUUGCGCGAUUGAAUGAGCCGAUGUCGGAUUAGCUAGUUGGCGGGGUAACGGCCCACCAAGGCGACGCUCCGUAGCUGGUCUGAGAGGAUGAUCAGACACACUGGAACUGAGACACGGUCCAGACUAGUAUGGGAGGCAGCAGUGGGGAAUAUUGGACAAUGGGAGGAAUCCUGAUCCAGCCAUGCCGCGUGGGUGGAGAAGGCCUUCGGGUUGUAAAGCCCUUUUGUUGGGAAAGAAAAGCAGCAGGUUAAUACCCCGCUGUGCUGACGGUACCCAAAGAAUAAGCACCGGCUAACUUCGUG
rnacentral:rRNA from 1 species